rnacentral:miRNA from 1 species
GAAUACUGUCCGUACAAACUCUGCAGUGUUGAAUGGUGAGUUUGUUUGCUCAUUGAUUGAAUCACUGCAGAGUUUGUACGGACCGGAUUC